UGCGAAUGAACAAGGAUAUGCUUAGCUUGACAAAUGGAGCUAUUGGCUUUGAAUUGUAUUGUGGAAAUGUAUUACCAACAGAGGUGCAGGUGCCAGCCUAUUGAAAUAAAGCGUCAAUGAGGGUGAGAAUCCUGUUUGUCAUGUGCAGCCCUUUGUGCACGGUGUAUAUUUGCUGAGUCACACUCCUUGGCAUUGGAAUGCAAAGUGGGUGGUAAGUUUCAUGUAAAGGUAAACAUGCAAUUGAGACUGAUAGCACACAAGUACCAUGAGGGAAAUAUGAAAAGGACUUUGAAAAGAGAAUUAAAUGAGUUUGUAUUUGCUGAACACAAAGUAAACAGACUUGAUUUGCUUGGUGGGAGUGUUGCACUUGCUUGACAAGAGCUUUGGGCUGUGGGUGUAAUGAUUCUUUCUUUGCAUGCCAGUUUCUAUUUGUACAUCUGAUUACCUUUGCACAUGAAUGAUAAGUCUCCUGUGGGGGGUGGAUUGCAUGUGCAUGUAAUGAUUUGUGUUUUGAUAAAUGUGUCUGGUGUAUGUGUGUGUUCCUGUGCUUGGGGAUGCUUCCUUCCUUGGACUUACAAGCCUGACACACACAUGCUGGCAAAAUGCUUCUGCUUGACCCGUCUUGAAACACGGACCAAGGAGUCUAACAGAUGUGCAAAGUUUGAAGGUGGUAUACCUUUGUGUGCAAUGAAAGUGUCAGCUGGGAUAUGUGCACCAGCACCCAAUUAAUUAGCGGACAGAGGUUUGAGUUGGAGCAUAUCUAUUAGGACCCGAAAGAUGGUGAACUAUGCCUGAACAGAAUGAAUUCAGAGGAAACUCUGAUGGAGGUUCGUAUCGAUACUGACGUGCAAAUCGUUCGUCAUAUUUGGGUAUAGGGGCGAAAGACUAAUCGAACCAUCUAGUAGCUGGUUCCCUCCGAAGUUUCCCUCAGGAUAGCUGGAGUUGCUCAGUUUUAUCAGGUAAAGCGAAUGAUUAGAGGAAUUGGGGACAGGUUUGUCUUUGACCUAUUCUCAAACUUUAAAUGGGUAAUAUGUAGUGGUUGCUGUAUGGAACUUCUAAGAUAAAUGGCAAUAUUGGGUGGGCCAUUUUUGGUAAGCAGAACUGGCGAUGAGGGAUGAACCUAAUGUGGGGCUAAGGUGCUUAAUUACUUGCUCAUUUGAUACCAGAAAGGGUGUUGGUUCAUUUUAACAGCAGGACGGUGG
rnacentral:rRNA from 1 species